CAGAGAGCAAUGCACAAGGAAGACACACACCGGGCAAGCACGGGCCUCCAACCCGUGUCUCCUCACCGCACCCUGUGUCUCCAUCCCACAUCCACCAGGGCAUCCACUCACUUGCCAGCUGAAGAAGGCGGUUAUAGUCUGACACGUAAGGCUUGGGUUUUGGCAUAGGGUCCCACUCUUCCAACAGAGUGGCUGGGGGCCUGGGCUUUGCCAGCCGAAGCGUCCGUGGGGUCGGGACUGCCAUCUGGGCUGCUCUGGAGACUUGGGAAACCUGGAAACAGGAACAGAGGGAGACUGAAUUGGUCACGAUUCAGAGCAGUGCACAGAGCAGGCACGCCCUGCCUCCCAGGGAGAAAUCGGUUUUGCAGUGUGUUCGACAAGGCUUAGUAGCCACAGUAAGUACAUCAAGAGCCCCUCUCCAGGGACACCACAAAAUGGUAAUGCUUUCAGCUGCUUUAGGAAAGGUAAACUAUAAAGCAAAAUACCAGAACUAAUAAUAGCCCAACAUGGUGGUGAACACCUUUAAUCUGGCAUUUGGGAAGCAGAGGCAGACAGAUCUUUGUCAACUGGAGGCAGCCAGCCUGGUCUACCCAGUGAAACCCUGUCUCAGAAUGAAUAUGAUAGAGAAAAAACAAGCUGUCGGUGGAUAGUCACAGGCUUGAAAAGACCCUGGUGCAAAUGUGGCAGCAGAGACUCCAUGCACAGCCACAGGAGAGCAGCUCAGGGCACAGUUUUGAGGGAUUCCUGUGACCUCAAAGCUCUGUCUGACAUCAGUGCACAGCGUGCGUGCAAAGCUGAAUUCACCUGAUCAACGUGGGGCACGGGUUCAAAGGCUUCCACAUCAACCAAGGAUUACACUGUGAAUGCCUAACACGCGGAGGAAGGAUACCAGCAGUUCAGUCUACCAGCAAACCACCAAACAAGAAUCAGCAGCUGCAGGCCAAUCCACUUGACAGACAGCAGCAGUUCAAUGUAGAAGAAACUUUGAGGCUCCGCCAAUCGGCCUGAGUCCACGGAGGUGGCAAGAGGCCACUGGAAUAUCAAGAGAAGUUCUUUAGAGAGUUACUCUUCAUGAAGUCACGUCAUGACAAGUGAAGAUCAGCAAUGCAAGACAAACCAGUACAGGAGCAUCAUCAGCAAAGACUAGUGAGGCAGAGCAAGGCGAACCAGUGCUCCAGCCCUGUCCCACCAUCUGUGGUCAAAUUCAUAUUCUUAGCCGGGCAGUGGUGGCACACACCUUUAAUCCCAGCACUUGGGAGGCGGAGACAGGCGGAUUUUUGAGUUCGAGGCCUACAAAGUGAGUUCCAGGACAGCCAAGACUAUACAGAGAAACCCUGUCUAGAAAAACCAAAAAAAAAAAAAAAUCAUAUUCUUUCUAAUCAUCGUGCAUCCUUUCAUGUGUCUGCUUCAAUAAAACGUGUUUUCACCUGUC